rnacentral:rRNA from 1 species
AACCUGCCUUCAGGAUGGGGACAACAGACGGAAACGACUGCUAAUACCGAAUAAGUUCCAAGAGCCGCAUGGCCCAUGGAAGAAAAGGUGGCCUCUACCUGUAAGCUAUCGCCUGAAGAGGGGUUAUGCGUCUGAUUAGCUGGUUGGAGGGGUAACGGCCCACUCAAGGCGACGAUCAGUAGCCGGUCUNAGAGGAUGAACGGCCACACUGGACACUGAGACACGGUCCAGACUCCUACGGGAGGCAGCAGUGGGGAAUCUUCCGCAAUGGGCGAAAGCCUGACGGAGCAACGCCGCGUGAGUGAUGACGGCCUUCGGGUUGUAAAACUCUGUGAUCCGGGACGAAAAGGCAGAGUGCGAAGAACAAACUGCAUUGACGGUACCGGAAAAGCAAGCCACGGCUAACUACGUGCCAGCAGCCGCGGUAAUACGUAGGUGGCAAGCGUUGUCCGGAAUUAUUGGGCGUAAAGCGCGCGCAGGCGGCUUCCCAAGUCCCUCUUAAAAGUGCGGGGCUUAACCCCGUGAUGGGAAGGAAACUGGGAAGCUGGAGUAUCGGAGAGGAAAGUGGAAUUCCUAGUGUAGCGGUGAAAUGCGUAGAGAUUAGGAAGAACACCGGUGGCGAAGGCGACUUUCUGGACGAAAACUGACGCUGAGGCGCGAAAGCGUGGGGAGCAAACAGGAUUAGAUACCCUGGUAGUCCACGCCGUAAACGAUGGAUACUAGGUGUAGGAAGGUAUCGACCCCUCCUGUGCCGGAGU